CCCGCGUCUGAUUAGCUUGUUGGCGGGGUAAGGGCCCACCAAGGCGACGAUCAGUAGCCGGCCUGAGAGGGUGAACGGCCACAUUGGGACUGAGACACGGCCCAAACUCCUACGGGAGGCAGCAG
rnacentral:rRNA from 1 species